rfam:Arthrobacter woluwensis strain DSM 10495 genome assembly, contig: Ga0074710_13
CGCGGUCCUCGGUAGUGACUCGCGGGACGGGCCCCGAAGCCCUGGGCCCGAGAGUCUCGAUCGAAGACCGGG